CUCCGCAGCCGGGCAGCGCCUGGGGUCUGCGGCGGGGGGCGGGCUGGCAGCUGCUGUGCGCAGGAGCGGCCCCGCGGUCGCGGAGAAGAGCGUGGGAAUGCUGGAGCGUCGUCGUACGGUGCCUCGCAUCUCAUGCUGAAGGAAGGAAAAGGCUGAAAAGCCACGUGCGGAGCUGUGGCUGUACUUGCAGCCGGCCCGGGCGGUACUGACGCCCCCCGGUGCGGGCCCGGGAUGUGCUGAGCUUGUAAGACAAAACUCCACGCAGCCUGUGCUGUGCAGUCGGGUUGCUCCUCAGAUGGGGAAAGCGGAAAGGUUCUGAGUCUGUGCUGUCGGUAUGGAUGGGAACUCAAGUCCUGCUUGUAGCCAGCUGUGUGGUCUUGAAGGUAUCCAGCAGCCAGUGGUAGCUGCAGGUCAUCAGGGAGUGCUGUCAGUGAAAGAGAAAAAAGGCCACGUGGACUUCAUACCCUGAAAUACAGCAGAGCAAUCCCCUAUCUCAUGACCAUCAAGCCAAGAGGAGCAAUUUACAGACUUUGUAGAAAGUGGUUCCUCUCCUCACUACUUUCUGGCCGUAUUACUACAUCCAGAUUGGGAUACACCUUGAUGUGCUCAGAAGCUGGAGCUACUGCCUGCGCCUUGGGAAGGAAAGAGCACGCUUCCUGUGGUGGUUGAAUCCUUUCCAAACGGGGCUAUUUUCUAGGCAUGUUGUGACUUUCAGAUCCAAAAACCUGAGGGCUGCAUUGUGCUGUGUUUUAUUUUCCAUGCAUCAUCCUAUGCUGGAUAGCAAGGAAUUCUGAGCUGCAGCCACAUCCCAGAUCUGUAUUUGUCUUGGAGUAGCAGGGAUUCCUCCCCCUUCCUAUGGGCAGCAAAUCAAACCCAGCUGUGCAAUUGUAGCCAGAAUAGGCUUUGGAAGAAGCGUGGCCAGGCAUUUGUUCUGCAUGAUUCAAUAAACCAAACAGCCUCGAAUUAGGAAUAUAACACAUAAGGUUGUAUUUCGGAUGCUUGAUCUUGUUCCCUUAUGUGGUUGGAUCUGGACCUGUUUAGAAGCCACACACACCAGUGUGACAAGGAAAGGGCAGAUGAGAAAGCAUGGAGAAGGCCUCCUGGAAUCAGCAGAUAGUGUUCUUUGGCUGCAUCUAUGGUCAUGUUUUUUACAGCUAAUAUUGGAAAAAGCAUGAGUACAGGAAAGGAUAUAUAUAUAUAUAUAUAUAUAUAUAUAUAUAAAAACCACUGCAAAUAUAUCCUUAAACACUUGCAUUCAUUUGCAAAUGACAUCCAAAAAAAUAGCAUAGCUUUUAUUUCUCUCACAGCUAGCAAGGCAAAUCCACUUUUUGAGCAUGCAGAGGAGUGUUAUGUAGGAGACAGAUACUAUUUCAGUAAGGAGGCAAUGUUCAGGACAGUUAAAUUCAGCAGCCAUAUAGAAAAGGGUCUUGCAUUCUGCACACAAGGUCAUAGGUUAUUUAUAUUUAAUAUGUGACAUCUGGCAUUUUGAAUAAUUUCCUUGGCUAAUUACCAGUGCCUGGGUGAAAUGUGAAACUUCUGUCAUAGGGGAAUUAAAAGGAAAACAAAAACAAAAGUAGAUUGCAGAGCACUGGAAAGUUUUGUAGGAAAAUUAGGAGUUGUCCUAAUUCAGGCAUCAGAUACAUGGUAGGAGAAAAUAGAGUAAAAGGGAGUAGUGUGACUAAACUUGAAUAAAUUUAAGAUUUCAGGGAAAAUUUGCAGUCAUCCUUUUAAGACUCACUGUGCCUUGAUUGUUUGAUUGCAGCACUCCUACCUCAGUCUCAUGCUCAGCACUAGAUCAAUGGAGUAUUUGUAAUAACAAGUUUUCAAAGUAGAAAGGAAGAAAGAAAGGAUUGCCUACAAGGUGUGUGUUGACAAAAACACACCUACAUAAAAAUUUAAUGAGGUCAUAGAGCCUCAUUUAACCAUUUUACAGUUUACCCCAGGAAGCUUCAUCAUCGCUCCCCUAAACUUCCUGCAGUCAUAGUAGUACCCUGCAGUAUAUUUUUCUUCAAUAUGCAUUUCACAUUAAACAAUCAUUGCUUUGCUUUAUUGUUCGUUUAACAUUCUGCACAAAUUACUUCAUAAAGUUUUCUGCUGCUUUAUAUUUCUGUAGUUUUACAGAGAGGGUUGGAGUCUCAUUUGGCAGUUACCAUCAUGCAUACAUUAAAAAGAGCAGAGGGUCUGGAAGUCUUGCACUUGGCUGCAUGGCUCUCCUCACAGAAUCUGUUCACAGUAUUUUGCUUCCAGAUCAUCCAGUGAAAGCAAAAUAAAAUUACCAGCAGCAUUAUUACUGGAAUUAAAACAUAAGGCCAUUCCAGGCACAGGUAUUUGCUUCUGAAGCAACUGCUUUCACAGGUACCUUAGAGUCUUACUACAAAACCUAAAGUGGUUUGUGAGUGAAAUCAGAUGGCAAUUGAGAUUGCUACCAGAAAAAGAACAAAAUCCUUUAAUGCACAGUGAUGAUUGUAUAAGAUAAGUAUUUGUGGAAACUCUAAUGAGGUUUCAUAAAAGCUCUUAGGCUUGAUACAAAGACUAGGGGGGUAUUUUACUUACUUUUGCAUAUUUCAACUUUGAUUUUUGAAUGUUUGUCAGCCAACAAGACCUCUUGCUAAGGUACAGCACUGGGACUUAGAAAAUAUGGGUUCUGUUCCAACCUUCCAAUUUCUUGUAGGCUAAUUUUCAGACUUUCCCAAAGGACAUAACUAAUUUGCUCUCUAUAUACUCACUACAAACACUGCCUUAUUUCCCCUCUAAGGUGAGGACAACACAACUUCUGUAAUCUCUCUUUUUUCUUAGACUGCAUACGCCUCUGUAUAAGAACUUUGAAGUCUGAAAUAGCUCUUAAAUGUUGCUUGAAUAGCCAAGCAGCCAAACUGGGCAAUCACACAACUAUCAUAGCAAAAUUACCCCAGACUCUGAGCCUCUAGCUAGCUCUAUAGGAUCUAUACAUAAUACGAUAAUCCUAUGACAUGGCUCUAUUUUGUCUAAGUGUACUGCCUGCAUGAAAGCCUGCAGGGCUUGUUCUUCAGCGAGAGGGCCUGUCAACCUUGUGGAAAUUACUUUUGUCCUUGACUUGGGUCAGACUAAGCCAACAUAAAACAAUAGGCUCUAAUGCACAGAAUGCUUUAGAGGCUCACUGGCAGUUUGGCUUUUGGACUGUUAUCUCUCAGCUUUGUGGAAGUGGAUUCAUUUUGCAGUCAUCAGGUCACAUGCACACACCACUUGCUUAGUCUGUGCCUAAUGAGCUUUCUGACCCAGAAUCUUAAUUUGGAUACAACAGCUUUCAGAUGAGAGGCAACAGGUGCUGAACAGGAUUGCCAUGUCCCAGCUGUGGCAGGUGCUUGCAUGUCAUUUUGCUGUUAUCCAUGCCAGUAUGAAGUCAGAUAGGCCAGCCAGGUGGUUUGCAUUUAGCUUUUCUUUUGCAUUGGAAUAAAAGCAGAACUGACAGUCAGUUUUGAGUUGAUCGAGUUUCUGCCUGGUUUACUGACCAGAUUGCAUGUAAGAGGGUUGAUGCUUCUUUGACCGAGCACGGGUCGGGAGGUUUAACUUUUUGAUUUGGUUUCAGAAUAAAUUCUCAAUGCAGCAGUUAUCAGACACGAGGCUGCUAGCCCUGGUCCUUAUCUUUCUACCAUAACCCCUUCCCAGGGGUAGGCUUUGUGGGGUCCUCUGGCUCCUUACAUGCAAGACUGGACAAUGGGAUAUACUGCUGUGUAUUAAAAAUGAAUGGAAAGCAGAAAAAGCAAAAAGAUAGUAAGAACUGAUUAAGUGCUUAGUAUUCUUCCAAGCUGGACACGGCAACGUAUUCAAUUAAUAAAGUCAGGUCUGGAAGAAUAUUACUCGGUAAAGGUUCAUGCUUUUAAAAUAAAUUUAUUGGUGCUGUAUUUGCAGUUGCUAUGUCUUAAUUUCUCAUAUAUGCAUAAAGAAUGGGUUAGCUGUUAAUUUAGGUUGAACAAAAAACCUGAGUUUUCAAGAAUGCUCAAAUGAAAUGGAUUUU
ensembl:lncRNA